AACGUAGGAGACAAACGUUAUCCGGAGUUACUGGGCGUAAAGGGCGUGUAGGUGGUUUCGUAAGUCUGGCGUGAAAUAUCUCGGCUUAACCGAGGCAGGUCGUCGGAUACUGCGGAACUUGAGGACGGUAGAGGCGUGUGGAAUUCCGGGUGUAGUGGUGAAAUGCGUAGAGAUCCGGAGGAACACCAGUGGCGAAGGCGACACGCUGGGCCGUACCUGACACUGAUGCGCGACAGCAUGGGGAGCAAACAGG
rnacentral:rRNA from 1 species